GAUGAACGCUGACAGAAUGCUUAACACAUGCAAGUCUACUUGAACUUCGGUUUGGGUGGCGGACGGGUGAGUAACGCGUAAAGAACUUGCCUCACAGAUAGGGACAACAUUUGGAAACGAAUGCUAAUACCUGAUAUUAUGAUUAUAUGGCAUCGUAUAAUUAUGAAAGCUAUAUGCGCUGUGAGAGAGCUUUGCGUCCCAUUAGCUAGUUGGAGAGGUAACGGCUCACCAAGGCGAUGAUGGGUAGCCCGCCUGAGAGGGUGAUCGGCCACAAGGGGACUGAGCCACGGCCCUUACUCCUACGGGAGGCAGCAGUGGGGAAUAUUGGACAAUGGACCAAGAGUCUGAUCCAGCAAUUCUGUGUGCACGAUGAAGUUUUUCGGAAUGUAAAGUGCUUUCAGUUGAGAAGAAAAAAAUGACGGUACCAACAGAAGAAGUGACGGCUAAAUACGUG
rnacentral:rRNA from 1 species